UCUAAUAUGGCAGAAUAGUGCAAUGAAUUUAAGCUUCAUAAAUAAAGUUAAAACCCCUUUUUUUAGAA
rnacentral:tRNA from 1 species